ACAAGUUAGGAAGAUUCAUCACUGAAUCAGGUAUAACACCAGUAAAAUCAUUAUCCCUUAACUGCAAAUCAGAUAUACUUUCACAUUUCGACAAAUCGGGUAUAGGACCAGUAAAAGAAUUAGCAUGUAACCACACUUGUGACAACUGAACCAUACUUGAAAUCACAUCAAUAGUUCCUGAUAACCCUUUAACCUGAUUAUUCAGCCAUAAAUUCUUAAUCUCAGAAUCCCCAAAACUAGCAGGCAAAGAACCAGUAAAAUUAUUAUAAGACAAUCUCAAAUCCUGAAGAUUAGGGAAUUUACCAAGAAAAUCAGGUAUAACACCAAACAAACUAGCAUUA
rnacentral:misc_RNA from 1 species